UUAUCCGGAUUUAUUGGGUUUAAAGGGUCCGUAGGCGGAUCAGUAAGUCAGUGGUGAAAUCUCAUAGCUUAACUAUGAAACUGCCAUUGAUACUGCUGGUCUUGAGUAAGGUAGAAGUAGCUGGAAUAAGUAGUGUAGCGGUGAAAUGCAUAGAUAUUACUUAGAACACCAAUUGCGAAGGCAGGUUACUAUGUCUUAACUGACGCUGAUGGACGAAAGCGUGGGGAGCGAACAGGAUUAGAUACCCUGGUAGUCCACGCUGUAAACGAUGCUAACUCGUUUUUGGGUUUUCGGAUUCAGAGACUAAGCGAAAGUGAUAAGUUAGCCACCUGGGGAGUACGAACGCAAGUUUGAAACUCAAAGGAAUUGACGGGGGCCCGCACAAGCGGUGGAUUAUGUGGUUUAAUUCGAUGAUACGCGAGGAACCUUACCAAGGCUUAAAUGGGAAUUGAUCGGUUUAGAAAUAGACCUUCCUUCGGGCAAUUUUCAAGGUGCUGCAUGGUUGUCGUCAGCUCGUGCCGUGAGGUGUUAGGUUAAGUCCUGCAACGAGCGCAACCCCUGUCACUAGUUGCUACCAUUAAGUUGAGGACUCUAGUGAGACUGCCUACGCAAGUAGAGAGGAAGGUGGGGAUGACGUCAAAUCAUCACGGCCCUUACGCCUUGGGCCACACACGUAAUACAAUGGCCGGUACAGAGGGCAGCUACACAGCGAUGUGAUGCAAAUCUCGAAAGCCGGUCUCAGUUCGGAUUGGAGUCUGCAACUCGACUCUAUGAAGCUGGAAUCGCUAGUAAUCGCGCAUCAGCCAUGGCGCGGUGAAUACGUUCCCGGGCCUUGUACACACCGCCCGUCAAGCCAUGGAAGUCUGGGGUACCUGAAGUCGGUGACCGUAAAAGGAGCU
rnacentral:rRNA from 1 species